rnacentral:rRNA from 1 species
UCAAUGCCGCGUGUGUGAAGAAGGCCUUCGGGUUGUAAAGCACUUUUGUCAGGAACGAAACGGCGGGGGCUAAUAUCCUCUGCUAAUGACGGUACCUGAAGAAUAAGCACCGGCUAACUACGUGCCAGCAGCCGCGGUAAUACGUAGGGUGCGAGCGUUAAUCGGAAUUACUGGGCGUAAAGCGUGCGCAGGCGGUUGUGCAAGACAGAUGUGAAAUCCCCGGGCUUAACCUGGGAAUUGCAUUUGUGACUGCACGGCUAGAGUGUGUCAGAGGGGGGUAGAAUUCCACGUGUAGCAGUGAAAUGCGUAGAUAUGUGGAGGAAUACCGAUGGCGAAGGCAGCCCCCUGGGAUAACACUGACGCUCAUGCACGAAAGCGUGGGGAGCAAACAGGAUUAGAUACCCUGGUAGUCCACGCCCUAAAACGAUGUCUACUAGUUGUCGGGUCUUAAAUUGACUUGGUAACGCAGCUAACGCGUGAAGUAGACCGACUGGGGAGUACGGUCGCAAGAUUAAAAUCCAAGGAAUUGACGGGGAACCGCACAAGCGGUGGAUGAUGUGGAUUAUUCGAUGCAC